rnacentral:rRNA from 1 species
GUCGAGCGACAGAUGAGAAGCUUGCUUCUCUGAUGUUAGCGGCGGACGGGUGAGUAACACGUGGGUAACCUACCUAUAAGACUGGGAUAACUCCGGGAAACCGGGGCUAAUACCGGAUAAUAUAUUGAACCGCAUGGUUCAAUGUUGAAAGACGGUUUCGGCUGUCACUUAUAGAUGGACCCGCGCCGUAUUAGCUAGUUGGUAAGGUAACGGCUUACCAAGGCAACGAUACGUAGCCGACCUGAGAGGGUGAUCGGCCACACUGGAACUGAGACACGGUCCAGACUCCUACGGGAGGCAGCAGUAGGGAAUCUUCCGCAAUGGGCGAAAGCCUGACGGAGCAACGCCGCGUGAGUGAUGAAGGUCUUAGGAUCGUAAAACUCUGUUGUUAGGGAAGAACAAAUUUGUUAGUAACUGAACAAGUCUUGACGGUACCUAACCAGAAAGCCACGGCUAACUACGUGCCAGCAGCCGCGGUAAUACGUAGGUGGCAAGCGUUAUCCGGAAUUAUUGGGCGUAAAGCGCGCGUAGGCGGUUUCUUAAGUCUGAUGUGAAAGCCCACGGCUCAACCGUGGAGGGUCAUUGGAAACUGGGGAACUU